UACGAAGGUGGCGAGCGUUGUUCGGAUUCACUGGGCAUAAAGGGCGCGUAGGCGGUUCCGCAAGCAGCGCGUGAAAUCCCAUGGCUCAACCAUGGAACUGCGCGCUGGACUGCGGUUCUCGAGGACCGGAGGGGGGUGUGGAACUCUCGGUGUAGCGGUGAAAUGCGUAGAUAUCGAGAGGAACACCGGUGGCGAAAGCGACACCCUGGCCGGUUUCUGACGCUGAGGCGCGAAAGCGUGGGUAGCAAAC
rnacentral:rRNA from 1 species